rfam:Gossypium arboreum cultivar AKA8401 contig_84114_3, whole genome shotgun sequence.
AACCCAUGGUGAGGGCACCUUCUUAAUAAGUCUUAUAUCUCUCCCAUGUAUCAUAAAGAGUUUUUAGAUCCAUCUACAUAAAAUAAGAGAUAUCAUUCCUCAAUUU